GGUGCCACUAUAGGACAUUCUUUGCAACAAUUAUCUAUAUGGUCACAGUUCACAUCAAUAAUGUCACAGAAGGAAGUGUAGUAGAGGUUAUGAAAACAAUUAUGUUUUUACCUAAAUUACCUGGAGGCUUGCAAUCUCUUGGAAGAGACCCUGUCUCCCAAGCAACUACCUCCUCCCAAGAAAGCCACUUCUGUCCAGCCCAAAGUCCUGUGUCUGUUUCCUGGGCCUUUGGGCUCUGCUGCCUGAAACUAGUCUAGUGACCUCAGCUGGUUCUUGCAGGGUGGAACUUCAAAGAAAAUGGUUCUUUUGUUGUCCUUUAAAUAGUGGCAGAUGGAUGGCAAUCUAAAGCCAUUGUAUUCUCUGCCUAGAACGAUCACCCUAUUUCUAAAUUCCAAGUUUUCUUUCAAUAAACACCUUUAUAACAAUCAGACAUAUACACUAGUAUUAAAUUAUUAGAGAGACACCUCAUGUGCUUCACAGUAGUUGUGACCAACACUGCUUUCUUGGGAGGAUGUUUCUUUAACUUCAUGUGAUCUCUCCACACUAGUGUGGGGUGCAUCUGAGGGAGCAGAAUCAGAGAGAAUUUAGCAAAGGAAACAGAUGGAUAGUCUUUCAUCUUCAGUCUCAGGUUGAGGCAUGCUGUUCAGUGACUGCUGCAGAAUUUAAAGAUCAGUUUGAAUGGUAAGGCCCUGUUGGCCAAAGCACUUGAAUAUGUGCUUAUCUUCAAGCAUGUGGGCAGUCUUACUAAAAUCAAAGGGAGUACUCAGAGGCUUAAAGUUAAGCAUAUGCUUUGCUAUAUUAGGCCAUAAGUAAACUUACUUGUUUAGACUGGAUGACUUGUCCCAGGAUGCUGAAAGGGGGGUACUUAAUCCCUCUGAAUUACCUUAAUUCUAUGUCCAUUGAAUUUGAAAAAUCUUUCUGAUUUUUAGAUCUUCAUACUCUUAUUAGCCAUUGCAGGUUGUUAGUAAUAGUUCUUGAAGUACCACUGUACAAGAAACAAAGUGUACCACACAUCCUCUAAAAAGAGUAUUAGAUUUUUGUUUUCUGUGCUGUGAACUUUUUGUAUGCUAAACAUAUAUUUUUAUAUGGUUCCUUAUUUUAUUUGUGGUUUUAUUUGUGGUUUAAAUCCAACUGGUCCUCAAGCGUGACAAUUUUAGUUUUGAGUUCUUUCCAGAUCAAAACUGGCAUACAAGUUACCAACCUUAAAAUAAGCUUUUCUAGAAUAGCUUGAUACAAAGAGGAAAAAACUAAUUGUGGGGGAAUUGAAAUGCUUUUUUGCCGCACUACAGCCAGAUAAUGUGAAAUACCACCUCUUGCUAUUUGUUUAAAUUUACCAAGUUAUGUAUUCUUCAUAUGCUCCAAAAAGGUAUCCUGUGGCUAUGCUAAGUCUAAUGGAAUUCUUGUACACUGAUAUGAAUGGGUGAAAACAUAUGAACUAUUUACAAAGUUUACUACUGGGAAGUGUUACAAUUCAAGCAUAGCACAAUUAUGGAUUUGUCUUACAAAGAAAGGUUUAGAUUCAAAGUUAAUCAAAUGAGUUAGUUAUUUUAAUGUAGCAUUUGUAUUUAAUAUGCUGUAUACACAAAACUAUUGUUAAGGUACUUGUUAAGGUACUUAAAUUAUAAUGGAAAAUUGCAUACCGGAAUUAAUGGGAAACCACACAUGCUGGAGAAAUGAAAUUUAAAGAUCUAUUAUGAUGGCUGAUUGAGGGGUACAGUAGGGUAAAGGAAUGAGGGAGUGGAGAGUGAAUCAAGCUUUUUAUAGCAGCUUUGUAAACUGGAAGGUAGUUAUUUUGGUGGACAGAAAUGGGUUGUGUCCACCUUAUCAUAAAGUACUUAAUUGGCAGAUUCGCCCACUACUUGUGUGGGGUUGACCACCUGAGAAUAUUUUUAACAUUCUACUUGAAAGAAUGCAAUACUAUUGUGCUUGAAGAUAAACCUUGUAUAUUUUUUUCCAGCCACUUAGAAACUAUCAGCAAAUUGCUAAAGUGUUAACAGGUAUAAAAAUGGACUCGUCCCUUGUUUGAGACAUUACACAGUAUCACAGUGAAGUUAAUCUAAAGGGGAAGGUAUUAUCAUAUCAAACCUCCUUGUUAUACACCAUAUGGCCUAUUUUGGUGAUUUUAUUGAAUUGGAAAACAAUUGUCUUUACUCAUUAAAGAGUAGAAAAUUUAUUAUAAUUAUUAAUAUUUGUUUAAAAAGUCAAAUGUGUUGUAUGGUGUUUUAUUUUCAGGGAAGUGCAUGCUUUUAUUUUCAGAAUAAGAAGUAUGUCUUUUAUAUGAAAGCUAGUUUCAUGUAGAUCAACUUCUACAAGAAUCUUGAACAUAUCUUUUAACUUGUUAUAUACUAAUAUAGUCAAAUCUUCAAUACAUGUUCUUUCAAGCUGCUUUAUGUUAGGGUCCAGGCUGUGCUGAUGGCUGGAGUGACGUGGUAUUAAUUUUGAUUAUAAACAUAUGAACUCCUGAUUGAAACUUUCUUCAUUAGAAACUAAAGUUAGAAGUCUUACCAAAUAGGCUUUUCUUACAAGGACAUAAACUUUCCUCUAGUUAAGUUUAUAAGGGAAAGAUGACUGAUGAGUCUAGAGCAGGAGUGGCCAACCUGUGGCUCCAGAGCCACAUGCGGCUCUUCAGAAGUUAAUAUGCAGCUCCUUGUAUAGGCACCGACUCCAGGGCUGGAGCUAGAGGCACCAACUUUACAGUGUGCCAAGGGGUGCUCACUGCUCAACCCUUGGCUCUGCCACAGGCUCUGCCCCCACUCCAGCCCUUCCCACCCAUCCCCCUUCAGCCUGCCAUGCCCUUGCUCCUCCCCUCUCUCCGCCCAUAGCCUCCUCCAUGCCAUGAAGCAGCUGAUCAGGAGGUGUGGGUGGGGAGGCUGAUCGGCAGGGCUGCUGGUGGGUGGGAGGUGCUGGGAGUGAGAGAUAGGGAGCUGAUGAGGGCUGCAGACAUACUACUGUGGCUCUUUGGCAAUGUCCAUUGGUAAAUUCUGGCUCCUCAGGCUCAAGUUGGUCACCCCUGGUCUAAAACAUGGGUCAGAAAUCAUGAAAUGUUUCUUUUGGGUUUUAUUGUAGCUUUUUGUUAACAAUAGUCCCAAAGACUUUCAGAAAAGAGACAAAUCCUCAUGCCUGAGGUCUUAUGUCAACAUCCAGCUGGGGUUUCAAGGAAAUAUCCCUGUGGUCACGAUAUCCCGUAACUGCUUACUGUAGGUUUGUAUUGAAUUAUUUUACACUUUUCUCUGAAUGUCUAGUACUAACCCCAGCCAGAGACAUAAUUCUGGGCUAGAAGGACAACUGAUGUAGUUGAGUGAAUACCAGAUGACCAACAGUCCUUAUGAUAGGAAGGAUGGGUUUAAGGGAACUGAGCAGUCGGAAUAAUAUAUUAAUUUGUAUUUUAGAGAAAGGGAGACUAUUCUAGGGAAUAAGCUGUAUUUUACAGCCAAACAUAAAUUUUGCUAAUGAUUCAUAUUUUACAAACAGAAGAUCUGAUUGCAUUUUAACUUAAAUGGCAGUUGUUUUUUCCCCUUCAUUUGUCAUUUCCCCCUCCGUAAAUUCUGGUUGUUUUCCACUUUCUCACUUCUGAGACUUCCAGAGAGUGUCCUGAAGAUGAAAGAAAAUAUGAUGUGUAAAACCUGGUUCAGUGUACUCAACACAAUCUUCAAGAGACUGCAGGGGUUUUAGAACCUUUUGCUCUCAGUAUCAAAGCAUUGUAAUCAUCCUUCAAAUGCAACUGGAGCAUUAAACCAUUCCAGUUCCAAGUGCGCUUGUUUUUGAGUUUCAAAAGCAUCAGACAUGUAAAACCUAGAAAACGCUUUAGUAACCCUUUAAGUUUUUUACUGCCAGGCUUUCACUAGUACAAUAAUAGGAAUGUGUCUAUUACUACUGUACACAAAGCAUCAUCUACUGUGGUUCUUUGAUCCAGGAAAUGUGAUAUGGAGAUCUCAGAAAGACCAGGCUGAGGAGCCCUUUUAUAAAUCACAAUAUCACAGAGCAUGUGUGUUCAAGGUUUUUGUAGUGAAGUAAUUUAAGAAAAACUAAAUUACGAACUCUUAUCAAUACUUCAAAAAUAAAAAUAGUUUAAUGGGAUAUACUUGAAGUAUUAAACCCAAAACAUUGUUCCACUGAACUGCAAAAGACAAGCUAGCCCAUUCCAAUCUGCUUAAUUGUUUUAGUGCUGGCACCGGGCGUGGUGCUGUACAGUCACAAAAAUAGUUGCUUCCUCAUUUAAAUAAGUUGUAAUUUUUUUUCUAAAACAAAUGUCUUCAAAUUUUAUUUCUUCUGGACUAUGCAUGUUUGAAGUUUAAAGUUAUAAAAGAAAGCUGCUUUUGCCAUCCAAGCAUAAAAUUGUGUCUGAAAAACUUUUCUUCCCUCUUUCAUAUUUGAAAAAUUCCAAAAUGGCUGAAAUGAUUUUUAUAAAAAAGGUUUAAAAAGGAGUUCCGUGCAGAGUCUACAAAUGAGAAAUUCGAUCCCUAAAGCUUUUUUUUUAAGUUAUAACUGAGAAUAAUGGUUUAGAAUGAAAAUAUCAGCCCAACCAAUAAUACAGCAUUAGCAUCAAACUACUGUAUUACUUUGUUCCUGAGUUCCAUUUUUUAAAAUUCUCAUGUCAACCUGUUUUUCUUUAUUAAGGCUCCAACCUUGCAAAGACUUAAAAGCAUGCUUAACUUUGAAUAGACCCUUUGAAUCCAAUGGAACUACUCAAAAAGUUAUGUGCUUGAGUUUUGACACAACUGAGAGGCAGAGAAGGGAGUCCCUGGAGGUGCUUGUCAAUCAGCAGCACGAUGACUGGGUGAGAAAGAAGAGUGCCCUUUUGGAAGCCUAAAAGAAGAGAUUUGUUAUACACAAAACAGGGAGUGUGAAGAGACAGAGACAAGUGGCCCUACUCACUUAAGGAGAGUCCAUCUAGAGACUGCUGAGCUGGAUUCAUGUUGGG